AGGUAUGACACUGUUGACCUUUCAUUAAUAAUUGCAAAGUUCAAUUGCAUUCCAUUGGUAUCACAUGAUGCAAAAUGGCAGCUUUCUGAUGACUGUAUCACAAAGCAGGCCUAUACUGCAGAAACUAUAAUGAUUUAUGACAAUCCUUGACAGUUACAUGAAUAUAAGAAGGAGAAAGAGACAAGGCAUCUUAAAUUUGAUCCUGUUCUUUGCUUCAUCAGAUAAAUAGAUCUUCACUAGUUUAAGAUUUUAAAAAUAACUGCAAUCAUCAUAGUUUGUAGUGAAGCAAU